rnacentral:rRNA from 1 species
GACGAACGCUGGCGGCGUGCUUAACACAUGCAAGUCGAACGGAAAGGCCCUGCUUUUGUGGGGUGCUCGAGUGGCGAACGGGUGAGUAACACGUGAGUAACCUGCCCUUGACUUUGGGAUAACUUCAGGAAACUGGGGCUAAUACCGGAUAGGAGCUCCUGCUGCAUGGUGGGGGUUGGAAAGUUUCGGCGGUUGGGGAUGGACCCGCGGCUUAUCAGCUUGUUGGUGGGGUAGUGGCUUACCAAGGCUUUGACGGGUAGCCGGCCUGAGAGGGUGACCGGCCACAUUGGGACUGAGGUACGGCCCAGACUCCUACGGGAGGCAGCAGUGGGAAGUAUUGCACAAUGGGCGGAAGCCUGAUGCAGCAACGCCGCGUGCGGGAUGACGGCCUUCGGGUUAUAAACCGCUUUCGCCUGUGACGAAGCGUGAGUGACGGUAAUGGGUAAAGAAGCACCGGCUAACUACGUG